CAGAGGUCUAGAUUUCCAGACCUCUCCGCUACAGAGUGGGUUCUAGAUCAGCCCGACCACACGAGACUCCGGAACCAGAGCUAAGCAGAGCAGGUGCUAGGGCGGCACUUCAUAAAAAUCAGUAAGUCCCAUUUCAUAACGGUGAGCCUGGCAGGUGAACUGAAAGCCAGAGAGGACGUGGCACCUGAUAUGCUCCCACGGGAGCAGCUAGGAUGGGGUGAAGAACGUUUCCUUGGCCUACCGGGUAGCAGAUGGCUCACCUCUCCAUCUGCCUGGGAUGACGAAGAAGGGGGUGUACACCGAGGGUGGGGUCUCUGAGGAACUAGGGUGAUGAAGACAUGAGCACUAACAACCAGACCCCACAGCUGAGCAGAUCGAGCUUGGAACUCCUUUGCUGUGUCCCCAGGACAGGUGGUCCCUGAACCAGGCUGCCUCACUUCUCCUUGGUGGGGCCUCCCACAGCUGAGCAUUUACACAGGACAAAAAGAAGCUCUUCAGGCAAAAGCUGCUUUCAAAGACUGCUCUCUCUAAAAGGAAAUUGACACUACCUUUUCCCACAAGAAGUUCAAAGAAUGGUGAUUACUCAGAACUUUUCCUCCACAUUCUUGUGAAUAUUUGAUAAAUUCCCAGUGCCUCCCAUUGUCGUCAGUCCGGGAAGCCAGGCGUGCAGAGCCUCAGCAACCGUAGCAACUGAGGUCAUAGCAACUGCACAAACCAUUGUGUAACAAUCGUGUGUGUAUUCGUGAGUGACUGAGUGCGUGCGCAUUUGUGUGUGUUUGCACAUAUGUGGGUGUGUUCCUUUGUUUGAUAAGGAAAGGAAAUGCAAAUAAAGAACUAAUGACU